CCUACGGGUGGCAGCAGUGGGGAAUAUUGCACAAUGGGGGAAACCCUGAUGCCGCGACGCCGCGUGAGUGAAGAAGUAUCUCGGUACGUAAAGCUCUAUCAGCAGGGAAGAAAAUGACGGUACCUGACUACGAAGCCCCGGCUAACUACGUGCCAGCAGCCGCGGUAAUACGUAGGGGGCAAGCGUUAUCCGGAUUUACUGGGUGUAAAGGGAGCGUAGACGGCAGCACAAGUCUGGAGUGAAAUCCCGGGGCUUAACCCCGGAACUGCUUUGGAAACUGUGCGGCGGGAGGGCAGGAGGGGGAAGCGGAAGUCCUAGGGGAGCGGUGAAAGGCGGAGAGAUUAGGAGGAAAACCGGUGGCGAAGGCGGCUUACUGGACUUUAACUGACGUUGAGGCUCGAAAGCGUGGGGAGCAAACAGGAUUAGAUACCCGUGUAGUC
rnacentral:rRNA from 1 species